rnacentral:rRNA from 1 species
GAAAGUACAAAAGGGCGUACGGUGGAUGCCUAGGCUCUUACAGGCGAUGAAGGACGUGAUAAGCUGCGAUAAGCUGUGGGUAGGUGCAAAUGACCGUUGAUCCGCAGAUUUCCGAAUGGGACAACCCGGCAGGUUGAAGACCUGUCAUCCCGCUAAGCGGGAGGCUAACGAGGGGAACUGAAACAUCUUAGUACCCUCAGGAAAAGAAAAUAACAAUGAUUCCCCCAGUAGUGGCGAGCGAACGGGGAAGAGCCCAAACCGUGGAGGUCUCGGCCUUCACGGGGUUGUAGGACCACGACGUUGGACUUGGUUCGAUUAGAGGAACGUUUUGGAAAGAACGACCAUAGAGAGUGACAGUCUCGUACUCGACAAUCGAAUCGGCCAUAGUGGUAUCCUGAGUAGGGCGGGACACGUGAAAUCCUGUCUGAAUCCGGCGGGCCCAUCCGCCAAGGCUAAAUACUCGUAAGAGACCGAUAGCGAACCAGUACCGUGAGGGAAAGGUGAAAAGCACCUCUGUCAGAGGAGUGAAAAAGUUCCUGAAACCGUACGCCUACAAGCGGUCGGAGCAUCUUUAUGAUGUGACGGCGUGCCUUUUGCAUAAUGAACCUACGAGUUGCCGUCGUCGGCAAGGUUAAGCGCAAUGAUGCGCGCAACCGAAGCGAAAGCGAGUCUGAAUAGGGCGCAUAGUCGGCGGUGGCAGACGCGAAACCAAGUGAUCUACCCUUGUCCAGGUUGAAGUCCCGGUAACACGGGAUGGAGGACCGAACCGAUAAGCGUUGAAAAGCUUCCGGAUGAGGUGAGGGUAGGAGUGAAAGGCCAAUCAAACUUGGAGAUAGCUCGUACUCCCCGAAAUGCAUUUAGGUGCAGCCUCGGGCGUUCCCUGUGUGAGGUAGAGCGACUGAUUGGAUGCGAGGGCUUCACCGCCUAUCAAGUCCAGACAAACUCCGAAUGCACACAGGCUAAGCCCGGGAGUGAGGGCGUGGGUGCUAAGGUCCACGCCCGAGAGGAGAAGAAUCCUGAUCACCGGCUAAGGCCCCGAAAUCCGGGCUAAGUUAAACUAACGAAGUGUGGUCCCCGUGACAGCUAGGAUGUUGGCUUGGAAGCAGCCAUUCAUUCAAAGAGUGCGUAACAGCUCACUAGUCGAGGGACUGUGCAUGGAUAAUAAUCGGGUAUGAAGCCCGGUGCCGAAGCCGUGGGAUGUCUUAUGACAUCGGUAGGGGAGCAUUCAUGCGGCCUUGAAGCCCAAGGGACGACCUUGGGUGGAGCUUCAUGAAAAGCAAAUGUAGGUAUAAGUAACGAUAAAGAGUGUGAGAUGCACUCUCGCCGAAAGACUAAGGUUUCCGGGGCAACGUUAAUCGGCCCCGGGUCAGUCGGGACCUAAGGCUCAUCCUAAUGGAGAGGCCGAUGGCAGAAACGGUUAAUAUUCCGUUACUAUCCUUUGGGGCGAUGUGGAGACGGAGAAGUGACACUUCCGCGGGCUGACGGAAUAGCCCGUUAAAGAUCGUAGGCGUCGACGAGGGCAGGCAAAUCCACCCUCUGAGCUGAAAGUCGAUAGUAUGCAGCGUCUUCGGACAAUGCAAUAGUGAAGGUAAGCAUACUCCCGAGAAAAUCCGCUAAGCUUAACCCAUUGGAUACCCGUACCGCAAACGGACACACGUAGUCGGGUAGAAUAUACUAAGGCGCUUGGAAGAUUCAUGGUUAAGGAACUAGGCAAAUUGACCCCGUACGUUCGCAAUAAGGGGUCCUCGUCGCAAGGCGAGGCGCAGAGAAUAGGUCCAGGCAACUGUUUAACAAAAACACAGGGCUGUGCAAAAUCGAAAGAUGAAGUAUACAGUCUGACACCUGCCCGGUGCCGGAAGGUUAAGAGGAGAGCUCAGAUGCAAGUCGAAGGUUUGAAUUGAAGCCCCGGUAAACGGCGGCCGUAACUAUAACGGUCCUAAGGUAGCGAAAUUCCUUGUCGGGUAAGUUCCGACCUGCACGAAUGGUGUAAUGAUCCGGACACUGUCUCAACCAUGAUUCCAGUGAAAUUGUAGUAUCGGUGAAGAUGCCGAUUACCCGCGAUGGGACGAAAAGACCCCGUGAACCUUUACUAUAGCUUAACGUUGUAACCGGGCAGUCGAUGUGUAGGAUAGGCCGGAGACUUUGAAGCGGGCACGCCAGUGUUCGUGGAGUCGCUGUUGAAAUACGGCCCUUCGGCUGUCUGGUUCCUAACUCCCUUGAUGGGAGGACCGCGUUUGGUGGGUAGUUUGACUGGGGUGGUCGCCUCCAAAAGCGUAACGGAGGCUUCUAAAGGUACCCUCAGACCGAUUGGUAACCGGUCGUAGAGUGUAAUGGCACAAGGGUGCUUGACUGGGAGACUAACAAGUCGCACAGGUAGGAAACUAGAGCAUAGUGAUCCGGUGGUUCCGUAUGGAAGGGCCAUCGCUCAAAGGAUAAAAGGUACUCCGGGGAUAACAGGCUGAUCCCUCCCAAGAGCUCAUAUCGACGGAGUGGUUUGGCACCUCGAUGUCGGCUCGUCACAUCCUGGGGCUGGAGAAGGUCCCAAGGGUUGGGCUGUUCGCCCAUUAAAGUGGCACGCGAGCUGGGUUCAGAACGUCGUGAGACAGUUCGGUCUCUAUCUAUCGUGGGCGCAGGAAAUUUGCGUGGCUCUGACACUAGUACGAGAGGACCGUGUUGGACUGACCUCUGGUUUACCGGUUGUGGCGCCAGCCGCACCGCCGGGUAGCUAAGUCGGGAUCGGAUAAGCGCUGAAAGCAUCUAAGUGCGAAGCCGGCCACAAGAUUAGAUUUCCUUAUGAGGGUCGUUGUAGACGACAACGUUGAUAGGGUGCAGGUGUAAAGACGGUGACGUCAAAGCCGAGCACUACUAAUCGCCCGAAACUUUCCUUU